ACAGUCAAUAGUCCAAGAGAAUGCCGUGAUAUUGGCAUGAUACUUACUGGUGUUGUUCCCACCGGUUUGUAUGCCUAUUCUUGGGCGAAAAACGGCUCUGUUGGCUUCUAAAGAUUCUCUGAGCAGUUGUAUGCCUACGUCCGUGGCUGCGUUGAAGAGAGUCGGCACGUGGUCUUUGUGAUCGCGAGAAUUAAUGAGUACUAGUUAGGUGCCGCCAACAAAAAACCCUAUUUUUAAACUUUUUACAAAGAAACAUUUCUAGUCUUAUCGGUGGAUCACUCGGUUCAUAGAUCGAUGAAGAACGCAGCCAACUGCGAUAUAUGGUGUGAACUGCAGAUAUUUUGAACACCAAGAAUUCGAAUGCACAUUGCGCCACUGGAUUUUAUCCUUUGGCACAUCUGGCUCAGGGUCGUAAAUACAAAACGAAAGCAAAUUCGUUGUAUAUGACAGAUUCAUGGCAAUACUAGUUAGGGUGAUAUUCCGCUAGUGUCAUGUUCUUGUGAAGGGAUUUGCCUACCGGAUGAUUUUGACCGCUAUUUCAUGUCUUUGCUAAUUUAGACGGAUUUGGCUGGCUAUUUCACUCUGGAUGUUUACUGGCUUCGAUCUUCCGACCUGAGCUCAGUUGUGAUUACCUGCUGAACUUAAGCAUAUCAGUAAGCAGAGGAAAAGAAACUAACAAGGAUUCCCUUAGUAACGGCGAGUGA
rnacentral:sRNA from 1 species